AUUGUCUGUAAAAGGUACAACUACCUUGCUGAUGCUGUACAUAUGGCUCACUUGUGCCCAGAGAGAGAAUAAAGCCAUGUCGAAACUAUCUACGAUUCCUUGAGUGUUUUUCCAGCUACCUGCCACUUGCCCACCCACUCCCCUCAGAUCUCAGUUAGAACAUGACAAUUGGGCUCAUGAACAGGAUCCUGAGUGGUUGCAGGUGAACAAGCAGUUGGCACAAGGGCAAAGUGAUCACAUCCUGAUUGAGUGGCUAUGGACAGCCAUACAGACUGUGUGGAACAACGCUGGUGAAAUACCCAAACCGUGAGUAAAUACCAGUCUAUGUGAUUUGGUGCAAGUCAUUCGGGAGACGGGUAUGCGGCAGGCUAUGUUUGACCUGAAUACCCAGGGACCAGGAGAUGAAUGCUUCAGCUACCACAUGGGAGAAUCUUGUGUUGGGUUCUGCACCCCUGAGUGCCUUUGACUCCCUAGCUACUGUCCUCAACCUGUACAUAGGGUACCACAUACAUGAAGUGACCACUGCUAUGGUGACUCUCAGGGAAGCAGAAGGCCAUCGGCAGGACCGAGGGGUCCAUGCUGUAAAGAAGGGGAAGAUGCCCCACCCACAGGGGGUCCCCCCAUGGUAAAAAGGGGGCGCCAACGAGUGACACACUCACAGACAUGUAUAGAUUUUAUUUUGGCCGGGUUGACUGAGAGAAAAUUGAUAAGCAACCCAAUGAAGUGCUUUUAACUUUGUGGAGACAGUUGUCUCUGGAGGAGCAAUUCCAGAAAAUGCCCAAGGGGGAGAAGGACAUUGCUGUGUAACCUGGUCCCACCCAGGCGCUUCA
rnacentral:lncRNA from 1 species